AAGUGGAGCAAUCCAUGAGUAAAGUGGCGCACGGGUGAGUAACACGUGAAUCAUCUACCUCCGAGUGGGGAAUAACCUAGAGAAAUCUGGGCUAAUACCGCAUAACACUUACGAGUCAAAGCAGCAAUGCGCUUGGAGAGGAGUUCGCGGCCGAUUAGUUAGUUGGCGGGGUAAUGGCCCACCAAGACGAUGAUCGGUAUCCGGCCUGAGAGGGCGCACGGACACACUGGAACUGAAACACGGUCCAGACUCCUACGGGAGGCAGCAGUGGGGAAUUUUGCGCAAUGGGGGAAACCCUGACGCAGCAACGCCGCGUGGAGGAUGAAAUCCCUUGGG
rnacentral:rRNA from 1 species